rnacentral:rRNA from 1 species
GACGAACCGUGCGAACGUUGUUCGGAAUCACUGGGCUUAAAGGGCGCGUAGGCGGGUCAGCCAGUUCGGGGUGAAAUCCUCCGGCUUAACCGGAGAACUGCCUCGAAGACGACUGAUCUGGAGGGAGGUAGGGGUCGCUGGAACUUCCGGUGGAGCGGUGAAAUGCGUUGAUAUCGGAAAGAACGCCGGUGGCGAAGGCAGGUCUCUGGGCAUUAACUGACGCUGAGGAGCGAAAGCAUGGGGAGCGAACAGG